rnacentral:rRNA from 1 species
GACGAACGCUGGCGGCGUGCUUAACACAUGCAAGUCGAGCGAGGCCCUUCCUUCGGGAAGGUGCCCUAGCGGCGAACGGGUGAGUAACACGUGGGCAACCUGCCUCUAGCACUGGGAUAACUCCGGGAAACCGGGGCUAAUACCGGAUAUGACCUCCGAAGGCAUCUUCGUUGGUGUAAAGGAUUCUGGCUAGAGAUGGGCCCGCGGCCUAUCAGCUUGUUGGUGGGGUAACGGCCUACCAAGGCGACGACGGGUAGCCGGCCUGAGAGGGCGACCGGCCACACUGGGACUGAGACACGGCCCAGACUCCUACGGGAGGCAGCAGUGGGGAAUAUUGCACAAUGGGCGAAAGCCUGAUGCAGCGACGCCGCGCGAGGGAUGAAGGCCUUCGGGUUGUAAACCUCUUUCAGCAGGGACGAAGCGCAAGUGACGGUACCUGCAGAAGAAGCACCGGCCAACUACGUGCCAGCGGCCGCGGUAAAAUAGCGUACU